rnacentral:rRNA from 1 species
CAGUAGCCGCGGUAAUACGAACCGUGCGAACGUUAUUCGGAAUUACUGGGCUUAAAGCGCGUGUAGGCGGGUCGGCACGUCGGUCGCUGAAAUCCCCCGGCUCAACCGGGGAAGUGGCGCCGAUACGGCCGGCCUGGAGGGGGGUAGGGGGGUCUGGAACUUCCGGUGGAGCGGUGAAAUGCGUUGAGAUCGGAAGGAACGCCCGUGGCGAAAGCGACUCUCUGGUCUGUAACUGACGCUGAGGCUCGAAAGCGUGGGUAGCAAACAGGAUUAGAUACCCCUGUAGUCCCUGUCUCUUAUA